AUUGAACGCUGGCGGCAUGCUUUACACAUGCAAGUCGAACGGCAGCGCGGGCUUCGGCCUGGCGGCGAGUGGCGAACGGGUGAGUAAUGCAUCGGAACGUGCCCAGUAGUGGGGGAUAGCCCGGCGAAAGCCGGAUUAAUACCGCAUACGACCUGAGGGUGAAAGCGGGGGACCGAAAGGCCUCGCGCUAUUGGAGCGGCCGAUGUCGGAUUAGCUAGUUGGUGGGGUAAAGGCUUACCAAGGCGACGAUCCGUAGCUGGUCUGAGAGGACGACCAGCCAAAACUGGAAUGGGGAAAGGCCCCGGACUCUUAGGGAGGCAGCAGGUGGGAAAUUUUGACAAUGGGGGCAACCCUGAUCCAGCCAUGCCGCGUGCGGGAAGAAGGCCUUCGGGUUGUAAACCGCUUUUGUUCGGGAAGAAAUCCUCUGGGCUAAUACCCCGGGGGGAUGACGGUACCGGAAGAAUAAGCACCGGCUAACUACGUG
rnacentral:rRNA from 1 species